CUCAAGGGUUAGAUGAUGAUAGAGCUGAUGUUCUUCUUAUUGACCAAGAUGCACCAACCAGUCUUGAAGAGGAUCUCGUUUUGUAAAGGAGCCAUGCAGAAGAAGAAUUCCCAGAGGGAGCCUAAUGUCUGUGAAAUGUCAUAUAUUGCUUACACAGAAACCAGUUACUCAAAGAGCUAUGCUGUUCUUAUGCCCUGUGAUGGAUCUACUGGGGAUAGAGAUAAGAGCCUGUCUGCCUGCCUCAGCCUGUGCACCUGAUCGUUCUUUUCCUGAAGCAACUUGUCAUGCCUUCACAGUGCACACCUGACCAGUUCCAAACCAAAAAGGGAUGUGCCUGGACGUGUGUGGAUAGAUGGCUGAGGGAGACAUUAUUGUUGUUGUUGAGCCUCCAUCAUCUCUCACCUGGACUGGUGCAGUCUUCUCCAAGCUUGCUGGAAUGCAGGCGUGCUGGCUGGGACUGAACCACCCUCUGGGACUGUGAGGCAGCAAUGUUGGAUGGCGGGGAAGCAGGCUGGAAGAAAAUUUAAGACCCUAGGCUUCAGAAGCAGACGAGGGAACGAGCAGAAGAACAGAAGAACAGCAGAAUGGCAUGGCAGAGAGAAGAAAGGGACCAUCUGAACGCCAAGAGAAAUUCAGCUGGGGGAGGUCAGAGAGGAGAUAGACUGCAGGACAGCCAAGCUCCAGGGGAAGAUCAUCUUCCCACUCCAUCCCCUUUCCAGCUCCCCAUCCAUCCCGCUGAGAGCCACCUCCACCACUCAAUAAAACCCUGCAUUCACCAUCCUCAAGUCUGUGUGUGACCUGAUUCUUCCUGGAUGCCGGACAAGGACCUAGGUACCAUGAGGGCACUGAGCUGGUUAACACUUAAGCUAUCUGCAGGCAGCACAGCUAAAAGAAUGCAUGGUAACACAUGCCUACUUGGGCUUUGGGAGUUGCAGGCACCCACCCCUAGAAGCUACCAUGGGGCUGGAGCCCCAAGGUGCUUGCCCUGGC
rnacentral:lncRNA from 10 species